rnacentral:rRNA from 1 species
AUAAGCCGGAGGAAGGUGGGGAUGACGUCAAGUCCUCAUGGCCCUUACAGGCUGGGCUACACACGUGCUACAAUGGCAUCUACAGUGGGCAGCUAUUCCGCAAGGAUGCGCUAAUCUCCAAAAGAUGUCUCAGUUCGGAUUGUCCUCUGCAACUCGAGGGCAUGAAGACGGAAUCGCUAGUAAUCGCGGAUCAGCAUGCCGCGGUGAAUACGUUCCCAGGCCUU